UACGUAGGGGGGCGAGCGUUGUCCGGAAUUAUUGGGCGUAAAGCGCGUGUAGGCGGCUUUGCAAGUCGGGUGUGAAAGCCCUCAGCUCAACCUAGGAAGUGCAUUCGAAACUUCCGAGCUGGAGUGCUGGAGAGGAAGGCGGAAUUCUCGGUGUAGAGGUGAAAUUCGUAGAUAUCGAGAGGAACACCGGUGGCGAAGGCGGCCUUCUGGACAGCGACUGACGCUGAGACGCGAAAGCGUGGGGAGCAAACAGG
rnacentral:rRNA from 1 species